GUAGUCUCGCACAGAUGCAUAUCAAUAAGCGGAGGAAAAGAAACUAACAAGGAUUCCCUCAGUAACGGCGAGUGAAGCGGGAAGAGCUCAAAUCUGAAAUCUUGAAAGGUCACCUUUCACGAAUUGUAGUUUAAAGAAGUGUUUUCUGUUACGAUCGUAAUAUAAGUUCUUUGGAAUAGGACAUCACAGAGGGUGAGAAUCCGUCUAUGAUUGCGAUUUGUAGCUUUGUGAUACACUUUCAAAGAGUCGGGUUGUUUGGGAAUGCAGCCCAAAACGGGAGGUAAAUUUCUUCUAAGGCUAAAUAUUGGCGAGAGACCGAUAGCGAACAAGUACCGUGAGGGAAAGAUGAAAAGAACUUUGAAAAGAGAGUUAAAUAGUACGUGAAAUUGUCAAAAGGGAAGCGUUUAACACCAGUGUUGUUUUCUGAAAAUCAACCUCUGUUAGCUUUAUGCAUGUUUGUUUAGACCUAAUCAGCUAUCUUGCAUGUUCUAUUGUUUGCAGUGGUGCACUUUUCAGUUUACAGGUCAACAUCAGUUUUUUUUACCGUAAAAAAGUUAAAGAAAGGUAGCUCAUGGCUCCGGUCGUGAGUGUUAUAGUCUUUUUCCUAUGCGGUAGGAGAGACUGAGGUCUGCAGUGUAGGCUAUUUGGCUAGAUACUCAGGUGCUAUGUGAUACCAUUUCAUAAACAACUUGUUGAUUAUGUUUUGUCUAUUGCAUACUCGCUUGUACUAUCAUACCUACGCUUAGGAUGUUGAAGAUGUAGCACAUCAU
rnacentral:rRNA from 1 species